CCUCCUAUUCCCAGUUGUGGAAGGAAGACCAAUGAGAGAGCAGUUGAGAUUUUUACAUUUGAAUACAGUGCAGCUUAGUAAACUGUUGCAAGAGAAUGUGCCGUCAUAUGAAAAAGAUCCUGGGUUUGAGCAGUUUAAAAUGUCAGAAAGAUUGCAUGGGAACUGGAUCAGACUGUACUUGGAGGAAAAGCAUUCAGAAGUCCUAUUCAACCUGGGCUCCAAGGUUCUCAGGCAGUACCUGGAUGCUCUGAAGACGCUGAGCUUGUCCCUGAGUGCACAAGUGGCCCAGUAUGACAUCUAUUCGAUGAUGGUGGGGACUGUCGUGGUUUUGGAGGUUCUCACCCUGCUCCUGCUCAGCGUCCCACAGGCACUGCGCAGAAAGGCUGAGCUGGAAGUCCCACUGUCAUCUCCUGGGUUUUCUCUGCUCUUUUAUUUGGUGAUCCUGGUUCUUUCGGCCGUUCACGUCAUUGUGUGCACCUCAGCUGAAAGUUCGUGCUACUUCUGUGGCCUCUCGUGGCUGGCGGCAGGUGGGGUGAUGGUGCUGGCCUCGGCGCUGCUGUGUGUGACUGUGUCUGUUCUGACCAACGUGCUCGUGGGUGGAAACACCCCAAGGAAGGUACGUACAGCUGGUUCCUGGGAGUGUGACGUGGUCCUUCUGCUCAGGUUGUUCUUGUUAUUUCAGGCUGCCUUUCGUUUACCAGACUCUGGUUGAACACCUGGUGUGUGCCAAGUGCUGGCAGUGCCCUGGACAGGGGGCCUCAGGGAAGGACGUGGAGCAGCCUUAUCCCAGGCCUCUGGGUGUCCCGACACAGGUGUUCACAUCUGUGCUGUCAGGUCAGAUGCCUCAGUUCUUGGAAAGCUAGGUUCCUGCGACUGUUACCAAGGUGAUUGUAAAGAG
rnacentral:sRNA from 1 species